rnacentral:rRNA from 1 species
GACGAACGCUGGCGGCGUGCCUAAUACAUGCAAGUAGAACGCACAGUUUAUACCGUAGCUUGCUACACCAUAGACUGUGAGUUGCGAACGGGUGAGUAACGCGUAGGUAACCUGCCUGGUAGCGGGGGAUAACUAUUGGAAACGAUAGCUAAUACCGCAUAAUAUUGAUUAUUGCAUGAUAAUUAAUUGAAAGGUGCAAUUGCACCACUACCAGAUGGACCUGCGUUGUAUUAGCUAGUAGGUGAGGUAACGGCUCACCUAGGCGACGAUAGAUAGCCGACCUGAGAUGGUGAUCGGCCACACUGGGACUGAGACACGGCCCAGACUCCUACGGGAGGCAGCAGUAGGGAAUCUUCGGCAAUGGACGAAAGUCUGACCGAGCAACGCCGCGGGAGUGAAGAAGGUUGUCGGAUCGUAAAGCUCGGUUGUAAGAGAAGAACGGGUGUGAGAGUGGAAAGUUCACACUGUGACGGUAUCUUACCAGAAAGGGACGGCUAACUACGUG